rnacentral:rRNA from 1 species
UACGUAGGGCGCAAGCGUUGUCCGGAAUUAUUGGGCGUAAAGAGCUCGUAGGCGGUUUGUCGCGUCUGUCGUGAAAGCCCACGGCUUAACUGUGGGUCUGCGGUGGAUACGGGCAGACUAGAGGCAGGUAGGGGAGAAUGGAAUUCCCGGUGUAGCGGUGAAAUGCGCAGAUAUCGGGAGGAACACCGGUGGCGAAGGCGGCCCCCUGGUUGGAUACUGACGCUGAUACGCGAAAGCGUGGGGAGCAAACAGGG